rnacentral:rRNA from 1 species
UGGGGAAUUUUGGACAAUGGGCGCAAGCCUGAUCCAGCCAUGCCGCGUGCGGGAAGAAGGCCUUCGGGUUGUAAACCGCUUUUGUCAGGGAAGAAAUCUUCUGAGUUAAUACCUCGGGAGGAUGACGGUACCUGAAGAAUAAGCACCGGCUAACUACGUGCCAGCAGCCGCGGUAAUACGUAGGGUGCAAGCGUUAAUCGGAAUUACUGGGCGUAAAGCGUGCGCAGGCGGUUUUGUAAGACAGAGGUGAAAUCCCCGGGCUCAACCUGGGAACUGCCUUUGUGACCGCAAGGCUUGAGUGCGGCAGAGGGGGGAUGGAAUUCCGCGUGUAGCAGUGAAAUGCGUAGAUAUGCGGAGGAACACCGAUGGCGAAGGCAAUCCCCUGGGCCUGCACUGACGCUCAUGCACGAAAGCGUGGGGAGCAAACAGGAUUAGAUACCCUGGUAGUCCACGCCCUAAACGAUGUCAACUGGUUGUUGGGAAGGUUCCUUCUCAGUAACGUAGCUAACGCGUGAAGUUGACCGCCUGGGGAGUACGGCCGCAAGGUUGAAACUUAAAGGAAUUGACGGGGUCAUAGCUGUUUCCUG